rnacentral:rRNA from 1 species
UACGAAGGGAGCUAGCGUUGUUCGGAAUUACUGGGCGUAAAGCGCCCGUAGGCGGGCUGUUAAGUCAGGGGUGAAAUCCCGGAGCUCAACCUCGGAAUUGCCUCCGAAACUGGCAGGCUUGAGUUCGGGAGAGGUGGGUGGAAUUCCCAGUGUAGAGGUGAAAUUCGUAGAUAUUGGGAAGAACACCGGUGGCGAAGGCGGCGCCCUGGACCGGUACUGACGCUGAGGCGCGAAAGCGUGGGGAGCAAACAGG